rnacentral:rRNA from 1 species
CCUACGGGUGGCUGCAGUGGGGAAUAUUGGACAAUGGGGGGAACCCUGAUCCAGCCAUGCCGCGUGUGUGAAGAAGGUCUUAGGAUUGUAAAGCACUUUAAGUUGGGAGGAAGGGCAGUUAACUAAUAUUUGACUGUUUUGACGUUACCGACAGAAUAAGCACCGGCUAACUUCGUGCCAGCAGCCGCGGUAAUACGAAGGGUGCAAGCGUUAAUCGGAAUUACUGGGCGUAAAGCGCGCGUAGGUGGUUCGUUAAGUUAGGAGUGAAAGCCCCGGGCUCAACCUGGGAAUUGCUUCUAAAACUGGCGGGCUAGAGUAUGGUAGAGGGUGGUGGAAUUUCCUGUGUAGCGGUGAAAUGCGUAGAUAUAGGAAGGAACAUCAGUGGCGAAGGCGACCACCUGGACUGAUACUGACACUGAGGUGCGAAAGCGUGGGGAGCAAACAGGAUUAGAUACCCGAGUAGUC